GCUGACCAUCCAUGAGGCUGAAGCCCUGGUGUUGGGACUGGCACCGGGCAACAGGAACACAGCCAGGGUUGGGGAGGUCUUCGGAAAGUUCUUCUGGGAGGGACAGAGAAGAUCCUUCCUCGGACGGCAGUGCUGGCCAUCCAUGACCCCUGUUGUGUGUCAGCCAGGCUGGGCUACUCCUCACCUACUCCCUCCUGGGGGAAGCCCAGCAGCUGCUGGGGGACAAGCAGGAGGAUGUUACAGCCAAUGUGAUUCGCAAGUUCCCCAUCAUCCAGCACUUGCGCCAGGUGCCUGAGGCACUGCAGGAGCUGUGCCUCUGAGGCCACCAGCAACUCCCGCUCCCUGCAGCAGGUACUGCUCUGGGUCACUGUAAAUGGGGACCUAGUGGAAGGGAAAAUGGAGCCCCCGGCACACACAGAAACUCUCUCUCCUCUCUGUGGAGCAGGGUCCUUCCCUCUACCCCCCAAAUUCCGGCACAGUCUCCCAGACGGGCGCAGCCUGCAGCUGAGCCACCUCUGGGAGCGGUGGGAACAGGUCACUUCGUCCCAUCAAAGCAAGCAGUGCUGGCUCUCAAAGAGGCUUAGAUGGAAGACCUCACUCCCUCAUGGA